rnacentral:rRNA from 1 species
AUUGAACGCUGGCGGCAGGCCUAACACAUGCAAGUCGAACGGUAACAGGAAGAAGCUUGCUUCUUUGCUGACGAGUGGCGGACGGGUGAGUAAUGUCUGGGAAACUGCCUGAUGGAGGGGGAUAACUACUGGAAACGGUAGCUAAUACCGCAUAACGUCGCAAGACCAAAAAGGGGGGCCUUCGGGCCUCUUGCCAUCGGAUGUGCCCAGAUGGGAUUAGCUAGUAGGUGGGGUAACGGCUCACCUAGGCGACGAUCCCUAGCUGGUCUGAGAGGAUGACCAGCCACACUGGAACUGAGACACGGUCCAGACUCCUACGGGAGGCAGCAGUGGGGAAUAUUGCACAAUGGGCGCAAGCCUGAUGCAGCCAUGCCGCGUGAAUGAAGAAGGCCUUCGGGUUGUAAAGUACUUUCAGCGGGGAGGAAGGGAGUAAAGUUAAUACCUUUGCUCAUUGACGUUACCCGCAGAAGAAGCACCGGCUAACUCCG